UACGUAGGGCGCAAGCGUUUGUCCGGAAUUAUUGGGCGUAAAGAGCUCGUAGGCGGUUUGUCGCGUCUGCUGUGAAAACCUAAGGCUCAACCUUGGGCUUGCAGUGGGUACGGGCAGACUAGAGUGCGGUAGGGUGACUGGAAUUCCUGGUGUAGCGGUGGAAUGCGCAGAUAUCAGGAGGAACACCGAUGGCGAAGGCAGGUCACUGGGGCGCAACUGACGCUGAGGAGCGAAAGCAUGGGGAGCGAACAGG
rnacentral:rRNA from 1 species